rnacentral:lncRNA from 1 species
UGCAUCACCAGAUCCGUCAUGCACUUCAGUUUCACCGUGCAAAUACCAAACAAGGUAAUUUUGCACAAAACCAUGCUUCAUUAAAUGAUAUUUAACUGUAUUUUCAUCUUGAAAGCUACGGUUCUGACACUUAAAUCGAUUGCAAGGACAGCGAAUCUGAUCGCCAUUUAAAUAAUCUGGGCAGUUCUUAGUCUUCUCUAUAAAUUCAUUGAUCCCCUCUAAAUAUCUCGGAUUAAG